CCUACGGGAGGCAGCAGUGAGGAAUAUUGGUCAAUGGACGAGAGUCUGAACCAGCCAAGUAGCGUGAAUGAUGACUGCCCUAUGGGUUGUAAACUUCUUUUGUAAAGGAGUAAAACGAGACACUUGUUCCUUUUUGCAUGUACUUUAACAAUAAGCCUCGGCUAACUCCGUGCCAGCAGCCGCGGUAAUACGGAGGAUCCGAGCGUUAUCCGGAUUUAUUGGGUUUAAAGGGAGCGUAGAUGGGUUGUUAAGUCAGUUGUGAAAGUUUGCGGAUCAACCGUAAAAUUGCAAUUGAUACUGGCAGUCUUGAGUACAGGUGAGGUAGGUGGAAUUCGUGGUGUAGCGGUGAAAUGCUUAGAUAUCACGAAGAACCCCGAUUGCGAAGGCAGCUUACUAAACUGUGACUGACAUUGAUGCUCGAAAGUGUGGGGAUCAAACAGGAUUAGAUACCCGUGUAGUC
rnacentral:rRNA from 1 species